rnacentral:misc_RNA from 1 species
GGGGCGACUUUUUCUCAAUCCUUAACACCCCAAGAUUACCGAAGUACCAGAGUGUGACAUAAGCUUACAUUAUUCGUCUUAUAUGUAAAUAGCCCACUGGAAGUAAAGUAUAGCGUGGUUCCACCUCGCAAGGAGAACAAGCGAUAGAUUGAAGAUCAACAAGGCUUAAUCAAAUAAUCAAGGAGGACAGGAAUAGGAAGAGAAAGAGCAUGUGUGCUAAGGCACAAGGUCCCGUAUUGGCACUUUCAGGUGGGCUAAAAAAGAGCCCCAAAGGAAGCCAGUCCUGUUGUAAUAGUAAAAGCAACCUAUCGCGCUAUGGGCUUUGAUGCUUACGCGCGCCUUACCUUGCUCUUGAGUUGAGCUGCAAGCUUAGAACUAGUAGCAAGUUUCCAAAAAGAACCUAGAAUCUUAGAAUCUU